rnacentral:rRNA from 1 species
CUGCAACUCGCCUGCGUGAAGUUGGAAUUGCUAGUAAUCGCGGAUCAGCAUGCCGCGGUGAAUACGUUCCCGGGCCUUGUACACACCGCCCGUCACACCAUGGGAGCCGGUAAUACCCGAAGUCAGUAGCUUAACCGCAAGGGGAGCGCUGCCGAAGGUAGGAUUGGCGACUGGGGUGAAGUCGUAACAAGGUAUC